rnacentral:rRNA from 1 species
CCUGCCUACGGGAGGCAGCAGUCGAGAAUCAUUCACAAUGGGGAAACCCCUGAUGGUGCGACGCCGCGUGGGGGAAUGAAGGUCUUCGGAUUGUAAACCCCUGUCAUGUGGGAGAAAAUUAAAAAGAUAGUACCACAAGAGGAAGCGACGGCUAACUCUGUGCCAGCAGCCGCGGUAAUACAGAGGUCUCAAGCGUUGUUCGGAAUCACUGGGCGUAGAGCGUGCGUAGGCUGUUUCGUAAGUCGUGUGUGAAAG